CGAGCACGCGCGUGUGGCAUAUCAAUAAGCGGAGGAAAAGAAACUAACAAGGAUUCCCUUAGUAACGGCGAGUGAAGCGGGAAGAGCUCAAAUUUGAAAUCUUCAAGGUUCUACCUUGACGAAUUGUAGUUUAUAGAAGUGUUUUCUGUUAGUGGAGUGGCAAAAGUUCUUUGGAAUAGGACAUCAUAGAGGGUGAGAAUCCCGUAUUUGGAUCAUUCUCCUAGCUGUUGUGAUACACUUUCAACGAGUCGGAUUGUUUGGGAAUGCAGUCCAAAAUGGGUGGUAAAUUUCAUCUAAAGCUAAAUAUUGGCGAGAGACCGAUAGCGAACAAGUACCGUGAGGGAAAGAUGAAAAGAACUUUGAAAAGAGAGUUAAACAGUACGUGAAAUUGUCAAAAGGGAAGCGUUUGACACCAGUGUUGUUUUUCCGAAAAUCAAUUACGAAUGUUUUGUUUUUGAGGAGUUACGACUUCAUCGGCUUGCUCCUUUCUUUAUGAAACUUUCUUAAUGCGCUUUUCGGUUAACAAGUCAACAUCAAUUUCUUUUGUUGUAAAAGGGCAUGAGGAAGGUGGCUUUCUUUUCGGAGAAAGUGUUUAUAGCCUUGUGCCUCUGCAAUCGGAGAAAUUGAGGUCUGCAGCGUAGAUCCUUCGGGGUUAGAUACGUUUGUGCUAAGUUAUAGCUUUUCAUAGACAACUUGUUGACUAUGUUUAGUCUUGUAGCUUACUCGCUGGCGCUAUUUUACCUACGCUUAGGAUGUUGAGCGCAUGUCUCUCUCU
rnacentral:rRNA from 1 species